UUCUGGCUUUUUGGUGUUUAAUUGGAGAUAAGAGUCUCACAGACUUUCCUUCUGGGCUGGCUCUUAACCUUGAUCCUCAGGUCUCAGUCUCCUAAGUAACUAGGAUUAUAGGUGUGAGCCAUGAGCACCUAGUGAAGGUACUAUUUUUGACUAGUAUCAAAAAUAUAAUUAGCAUAAAAAAUAGUGGCUUACCUAUUUUUGUCAAGAUCACUCUGCACCAAGUCCCUGUCUCUGUACAGCAUUUAUUUCUUUUGCCAUAUACCUAACGCAUACUAGGUAUUAUACGUUCUACAUUUGGAAAACUUAAGAUUAGCUAUGUAAGAAAAGGUGAACCACUCAUCCAUGAAGCUUUCAUUCUAUUGAGGACACUAAUAUAAACAUAGGCAGUAAAAAAUAUAUAGGCAUAGCAUGAAAAAAGAGUGCAAUUAAAUAUAGAACAUUACAAGGAUGAGGAUUUGAGGGGAAAUAGGGUCCCACUUAGGCAAAACGCACAGGGGAGGCAGCUCUGCUGCGGUGAAGGGAGGAGGGUCUCAGGUGAGGUUACACUGUGAAGGUGAACCACAGUUGCAUUUAGCAUGGAUUAUAAGAGGAGAGAAAACACGGUCUGCUCAGUGAGGGGAGAGGAGCUACAAAUACCCCAAUCAUAACAGACAACUCAUAAAUGUUGAUUAGAUAAACAAUAAUAUAUAAAAAUAAAUUUGUGAUAGGAUCUAUUAAAACAAACACACCCUGAUUUAUAGGCAAAUUUCAAAGUAUCAAGUACAUCCUCUUUAACAGCAGCUAAAUAUUACGUUUCAAAUCUUCCUUUGUUGUCAUUCUUACAGUCAUUAACAAAUAUCAUUUUAAUAGGAUCAAAUGCUUAGGUUUGACAAGAGAUAACUAAAGUUAUUUUUUAAUUAAUAUGUCACCAUUUCUGUGAAUUGCUAACAAUAUCUCAAACAAGACUGCCAAACAGAUCUGUGCC